rnacentral:lncRNA from 1 species
AUUUCAAAUCUAAGGAGAGAUGUAGAUGAAAAAUCAAAAAUAUAUUUAUAAGUAUUUAAUUUGCAGAGUGUUAGGAUUUGAUUAAAUUUGUAAAUUAAUUCUAGUUGGAUAAGAAUUAAUAUUUAAAUCUAUUGGAGAUAAAUUAAGAUUUAGAUAUUACUUAGAGUAUAAAUCUAACUAGAUUAGGAUAAAUGUUUAAAUCUAUUGGAGUAAUCCUAAAUAUACUAGGAUUUGGGUACGGUUUAUUGUAAGCAUUAUAUAAGCACUAUGUGGGGUGCUUUUGGAGAGAGAGUACGGCCAAAAAGUUGAAACUCUUUGGUGGGUUGUAUGAGAGAGAGAGUUGGCCAGUUGCAUGCACCUAGUGCAUGGGUGCAUAGGUGCAUGUGAGAGAGAAAAGGAGUUGUCUUUUAGAUUUAUAAAAGACGAGAGAAGGGUAGGAGAUAUUCAGAAAGACGGCUCGGGUUAUAGCUUCUCUAUUGCAGAAGAGGAGUCGGGUGUAAUCUUCUCUUAUUUAAUGAAUCUUAUUUUAUUCGCAUAUUUUCUGUUUUGAUUUUUUUUCUCUCUUUUGUGAUUGUUCAGUUUUUACUGAGGAGACCGGUUUAUGGUAAAAAUUCGAUUUGA